CCUACGGGUGGCAGCAGUGAGGAAUAUUGGUCAAUGGGCGCGAGCCUGAACCAGCCAAGUAGCGUGAAGGAUGACUGCCCUACGGGUUGUAACCUUCUUUUAUCAAGGAAUAAAGUGAGGCACGUGUGCCUUUUUGUAUGUACUUUCUGAUUAAGGACAGGUUAAUUCCGUGCCAGCAGCCGCGGUAAUACGGAGGGUCCGAGCGUUAUCCGGGUUUAUUGGGUUUAAAGGGAGCGUAGAUGGGUUGUUAAGUCAGUUGUGAAAGUUUGCGGCUCAACCGUAAAAUUGCAAUUGAUACUGGCAGUCUUGAGUACAGUUGAGGUAGGCGGAAUGCGUGGUGUAGCGGUGAAAUGCUUAGAUAUCACGAAGAACUCCGAUUGCGAAGGCAGCUUACUAAACUGCCACUGACAUUGAUGCUCGAAAGUGUGGGUAUCAAACAGGAUUAGAUACCCUUGUAGUC
rnacentral:rRNA from 1 species